GACUGACCGUUAUGGUGGUAUAAUGGUUAGAGGGUCUGCCUUGGAUGCAGGAGGUCGUGGGUUCAAUUCCCAGUCGAGUCA